rnacentral:rRNA from 1 species
UACGUAGGGGGCAAGCGUUGUCCGGAUUUAUUGGGCGUAAAGAGCGUGUAGGCGGCCUGACAGGUCUGCUGUGAAAACUCGAGGCUCAACCUCGAGAUGUCGGCGGAAACCGUCUGGCUAGAGUCCGGAAGAGGAGAGUGGAAUUCCUGGUGUAGCGGUGAAAUGCGCAGAUAUCAGGAAGAACACCUAUGGCGAAGGCAGCUCUCUGGGACGGUACUGACGCUGAGACGCGAAAGCGUGGGGAGCGAACAAG